CAUUGCUAUCGGAGUCCGAUUUAGCCAUGCUAGUUGUGCGGGUUUAGACCCGCAGCGGAAAGCUCAGUAACACGUGGCCAAACUACCCUGUGGAUGGGAACAAUCUCGGGAAACUGAGGCUAAUUCCCAAUAACGCUCCACCCCUGGAACGGGCGGAGCUGGAAACGCUACGGCGCCACAGGAUGUGGCUGCGGUCGAUUAGGUAGACGGUGGGGUAACGGCCCACCGUGCCAAUAAUCGGUACGGGUUGUGAGAGCAAGAGCCCGGAGACGGAAUCUGAGACAAGAUUCCGGGCCCUACGGGGCGCAGCAGGCGCGAAACCUUUACACUGUACGCAAGUGCGAUAAGGGGACUCCGAGUGUGAAGGCAUAGAGCCUUCACUUUUGUACACCGUAAGGUGGUGUACGAAUAAGGGCUGGGCAAGACCGGUGCCAGCCGCCGCGGUAAUACCGGCAGCCCGAGUGAUGGCCGAUAUUAUUGGGCCUAAAGCGUCCGUAGCUGGCCGGACAAGUCCGUUGGGAAAUCUGUUCGCUUAACGAGCAGGCGUCCAGCGGAAACUGUUCGGCUUGGGACCGGAAGACCUGAGGGGUACGUCCGGGGUAGGAGUGAAAUCCUGUAAUCCUGGACGGACCACCGGUGGCGAAAGCGCCUCAGGAGGACGGAUCCGACAGUGAGGGACGAAAGCUAGGGUCUCGAACCGGAUUAGAUACCCGGGUAGUCCUAGCUGUAAACGAUGCCCGCUAGGUGUGGCGCAGGCUACGAGCCUGCGCUGUGCCGUAGGGAAGCCGAGAAGCGGGCCGCCUGGGAAGUACGUCUGCAAGGAUGAAACUUAAAGGAAUUGGCGGGGGAGCACUACAACCGGAGGAGCCUGCGGU
rnacentral:rRNA from 1 species